GUUCACCAAAAACUAAAGAAUAUAAAACCUUUACAAUAUUACAGAUAUUCAAAACAAAGAAGACAGGAACUUCUGCCAACAUUUUCUAGGCUUGACACUGAAAAGUCUCCUCCAGUCAGUGAUCAGUUAUUAUAACAGCACAACAAAGUGCAGAAGCUGCCUGCAGCUCCAUUCAGCAGCUGGUUGCCCAGGCAGGCAGGCCAGCAGCCAGAAGCCAGCAGGCAAGAUUUAACAGCCACGCUUCAAAAUGCUGGUAACAGCUAUCAAUGGAUCCAUAACUCUCAGCUCUCCAGAUAUGGGGUCAUCUUUCAAUACUACCCCACUGUCAUAUACAACAUUUGUCUUGUCCUGCAUUCAACUAAUUGUGUCAAUCUAUGGGGUGACUCUAUAAUACACAUAUACAAUAGCACAAUGAGAGCAAUAAACUCCGACCCAGACUCUUUAUUUAUUUAAGUGCUAUUACAAAGUUUCCUGCAGCAAAGAGAAGCUGGGAGGCUACAACCUAUUCCAGCCAUGAACAGCUAUCCCAAUGAAAGAAAGAAAGAAUGUGGUGACUUAAAUAAGUUACAUGUUUAUGCGUUUUUUUUUUCUAUCCUGACACCACUACCAAAUGGUAUGGAGGGGGAUGGGGAGCACACUUCACUAAUAUUUCAAAAUGUGUAAUACAAAAAGAAGCAGAAAUCCCAAUAAACAAAACUUGUGAUUCCCAAGUAAUUAUUUUUUUCAUUCUGAUUUUUUUUUUUCUAAGGGAAUAUUCACAAUUUAUAUUUAUUAUGAGUAAAAUGCAAAUACAAGACAUAUAGCUCGAAGCUUUCUCAGUUUAAUUAUUUUGUGGCUCUGGUUUUUGAAGUCAUAAUAUCGUUAUGUAUCUUUAACAUAAAUAACUUCCAUAGUAGCAAAAUGACUCCUUCUUAGUUCAAAAUUCUGUUCAGAGGUUUACCAUGAAGUACUAGAUAUUGCUGUUCUCAGCAUCACUGCGUUAGUUGCGCAAAUGGCCACAUUUGGCUAAUGUUCAUAAGCCUCAUCAUCAAUCAGGGUUCAUUCUUGCUUUUCUAUCAUCCCAACACACCCCCAGUUCUCGUUUUUACAAGUACUCACACCUCUCGAGUCCAGCCAUAAUUAGACAUUUCAAGGGUCUCCUGCAGUGAAUGCAUUUCCUCCACUACCUGAACCAACCAGGAACAUUUGGGGCUCUUUGCUGGAAUCAGGGUGGCCCCCCAAUCUCUGCAAGUUUCUGCAGGUCAUUAAGAACUAUCUGCUGACUAUAAAAUUCUUGCAGAUACUACCAUACCUUAUUCUCAUGUGUUUAUUACAGUGUCUGAUGGUUCUGCUAGCAGUGAUGGAGCCCUUUCUGCUCAGGCUCUGUCCCAAGGCAGACAUGGAUAACUAUCCUGAGAUCAUUGAACAGUCUGUAUUUUACAUUCUGUCCCAAAUAAUGUCCACCCUCCAAACAGUCCAGCCAUAUCUGGUUUCCACUGAGAGAGUGCAAACUGAAAAGUGAGAUGGGGAAAAGUCUUCUCAUACAGGCAGAUGACUUGAUGAGCCAGCAAGGUAAAGGUAUGUAGCAGGAAGCUUGAUACAUGACAAAACACAUAAAAUAGUCCAGAAUGGAAAGUUGUCUGAUCAGCACACAUUUGACUGAUGUCAUGAAAAAUAUCUUUUGAGGAGUUCUUAAAAAAAACCAACAAUAA